rnacentral:tmRNA from 1 species
GGGGAUGAACUUGGUUUCGACGGGAAUAUCAGAUGGUCGGGACAGCAUUCUGUGUUCUCAGCAGACACAUUAAAGAAGCUGAAAAGUCAAAAAUAAAUGACAACUAUAAUUACGCAAUGGCUGCUUAAUAAACGUUAACAGCCCGUCUUCUGCCGCUUCCGCCGCCUUUCCGGAGGGCAGCAAGGCGCUAAAAUGAAAGGAUAGCUGUAAUGUUUGGCUUGAGAUAUUACAGUGAAAUAAUAUCAAGUGUAGCUUUUAGCAACCUCGCUUACCAGUUAGUUAAAAGUGAAAUUAAAGUGUGAGCUAUGAAUGUAGAAAUCCUGAUGGUCAUGUUUUCGGACCCGGGUUCGACUCCCGGCAUCUCCACUC